GACGAACGCUGGCGGCGCGCUUAACACAUGCAAGUCGAACGGAAAGGCCUGCUUUCCCUUGUGGAUUGCGGGUACUCGAGUGGCGAACGGGUGAGUAACACGUGAGUGAUCUGCCCCCAACUUGGGUAUAAGCCUGGGAAACUGGGUCUAAUUCCCGAUAGUACUGCAGGGUGGUGCCUGUGGUGGAAAACGAUUUUCUAGUGGUUGGGGAUGAGCUCGCGGCCUAUCAGCUUGUUGGUGGGGUAAUGGCCUACCAAGGCGGCGACGCGUAGCCGGCCUGGGAGGGUGGACGGCCCCAUUGGGACUGAGAUACGGCCCAGACUCCUACGGGAGGCAGCAGUGGGGAAUAUUGCACAAUGGGCGGAAGCCUGAUGCAGCGACGCCGCGUGGGGGAUGACGGCCUUCGGGUUGUAAACUCCUUUCGACCGCGAGGAAGCCACCUGGUUGGAAGGGUGGUGACGGUAGUGGUAGAAGAAGCACCGGCUAACUACGUG
rnacentral:rRNA from 1 species